UACGGAGGGGGCAAGCGUUGUUCGGAAUUACUGGGCGUAAAGGGCUCGUAGGUGGCCAACUAAGUCAGACGUGAAAUCCCCAGGCUUAACCUGGGAACUGCGUCUGAUACUGGAUGGCUAGAGUUUGGGAGAGGGAUGCGGAAUUCCAGGUGUAGCGGUGAAAUGCGUAGAUAUCUGGAGGAACACCGGUGGCGAAGGCGGCAUCCUGGACCAACACUGACGCUGAGGAGCGAAAGCCAGGGGAGCAAACGGG
rnacentral:rRNA from 1 species